CACACGGUGACUGUGUAUCUCUGCUUCCUUAGGAAGCAAAUUUGCAAAUGACAUCCAUAUCUUCUCCUAAGAUUAGAAGCCAAAAUAUUACAUCUGCGUGCGGGGGGAAAUCCUUCCUUUACGAUUCCUGUAUUCAGCAGGAGAAAGCUUAAAAACAACACUUGGAAAAACAAUUGCUGUAUUAAUGGAAGGCUGCAAAACUGAUGAGCCUGGCCAGUAACUGUGGAAGAGCAGUGUUGGGAGCACGUUCUGGGUCAGCCAGGGCAGAGGCUCUGCAGCCCAGCCUGGCUGUGUGAUGGUUCCUUGGCUCAGACUUUCACAACUUGUUUCCCAAAUCUUUAUCACUUUUGUGGAGCUGUCUGUAAGGAAGAUGAGAGGUUUUUGAGAAGUGGACAUCAAGACUGAACAUAGUAGUGUUCUCAGGAAUGCGUUGUACUGCAGCAAAAUGAAUUCCUUUCACUCAACAUUUCCAUUCGCGCCCUGUGCCACAAGCUUGCUUUCUGGAGCUCAUUUGAACUGACCCUUCUGUUCUGAAAGAAUGAUUUCCUGAGAAACUGAUUUUCAAAGUGGUCUUCUCUCCUUCCAGCAUUAUCUGUAUUUCUGAUUACUGUGUGAGCAUUCCAAAACAUCCUGUAGGACUGUGAUCACUUAGCACAGCUUGUAGGAAUAACCCCAUCUUUAUCACUUUCUGCAGCUCUUACUACCACAUGCAAGCUAUGCUGAUCAAAAUCCUUGUGCAGAUCGUUUCCAAGUUGUUAAAAGAGAAAUAGUCCCAGAAGUUUCACCCAGGAAAGUCUCUUUCAGAUCCUUGCUCGUACUACUACUACAUCUUACAUUUUGGUGUUUUUCAAUAAGUGGAAAUGCUGAGUCAUGGCUUGAACCAGUGACUGAGCACCUGGUGGAAAGGCAGGGCCAACCCAAGGGAGCUCAGGUGCAUGCAACUUCAUUUAAGGGUUGGCAGUGGAGGCAAGGCUAUCUUGCUGAAGAUCACCGCCUGAAGGCCUUCUGAAGUCCCAGCAUUAAUGAACCCAUUGGCUUCUAUAUCCUGAUGACCAUCAUUGCUUUCUUGGGGUCACAGGGGGAGAAAACACGUCAUCAGAGAAGAUAUUCUCUUCCUAUGCUGCAGCAUACACGUGCACCUCCUCAAGCCAAGGCGCUUCGACUGCCUGCUGGAGCCAGUGGUGCAUCAUACAGUGUGCCCAGCAGCAGCCACAGGGAGAUUCAGCAUCCAUCGCCCCCACCUGUGUGGACAGGCAGGGGACAGCACCAGGAUGGGCAGAGAGAGGCUGCAGCGGGGGCAGCAGGUGCCAGCUGGGGGCUGCUGCCAGACAGGGCAGAAGCAGCUCAAAUGGUGAACUGAAGAGGCAGCAGUCCUGGAGCAGCAUGGCUGUGCUACAGCAUGAGCAGGUGGAGCAGCCGUGUGACAUGCAGGCUUGGGUUAACGCUGGAGAUAUUAUUACAUGAGUAAUUAAGAAGCGGAUUCUCUCCCCUCCCCAUCACUUCACCUGCUCUUAAUAGAACAGCUCCUCAACAGCCUUCCCUGUGGGGAAUGUCUAUAUUAUCAUUAAGUCUGUCGGGUGUAUUUUAGAGGUAAAAAUAUUUCUGAAAACAUUGCCUUGCUACGUCUGUGCAAUAAAACAAAAGGAAGUGAAAAGUGACAAACGCAUUAAGAGAAUUAAGUCAGUCAGAAUAAAGAACAAAACUUCCUUUUCUGCCACUUGGGCUGAGCAGGCUGCUUCAUGUGCUGGGAGGCCUGAUGAGCAAAGCCUUGGAAUUCCAGGCCAGAAAGCCCCCUCUCCUAGGAAUUAUCUGGGCUUAUUCCCAAGUAUUUUUAUGUGACUCUGAGCUCAAGCCCUUACAUGUGUUGGCAAAUUCUGCCAGUCUUUCCAUGCUUUCAUAACUGUAGGACAUAUUCCUUUUUUUGUAGUCAGACCAGGACUUCACCCGUUGAGCCAUCGCUCCCAAACCUCUGUUCUGGAGCACAGCCCAAACACAGAACACAAAGGUUGCAAGCCAUUUACGUGCAUGCGGAAGAAGCAGGGUAAAAUCUAAUGAAAAGGUUCCAAGUUUGUGACUGUGCUUUCUGGUAUUGGCUACACAUUCAUUUUAACAUCCAAAAUUAGUCUGUAAGCGAGCAGAAGUGGCUGAAACACGAGACCAAAGGAAUUACCUAGUGAGUCAUCAAAGUGCUUUAUUUUAUAAAGCCUUGCUCAUGGUUGGAGUGUAAUCUAAGCGCUAACAUAUACAAUAAUGAGACUUCCUUGCCCUGUCCAAAUAAACAGUUUAUCAACAAUAAUGAGUGACAAAACUGCUACACAGACAAAAAGGGUACAUUUCUAAAAUGGUCCAAAAGUGUACACUGAUUGGCCGCAAUGGAACAUUUACUCCAAGUACGUGUACCUCAUUUUGACUUCAGGGUCUCGCUGCGGCCUCACACUUCAGGAAGCCACAGGAAAUGAAACUCUGGUGAUAAAUGCAGACGAUGGGGGGGCAUACAGGAAAGGACAACAAAAUAUCAAGCCACAGUACCAACUUAUUUAAAUACAUACAAUACAAAAGUAUACACAUACAUUACAGUGCUGCAGACAUCACUAAGUCAAACGUAACAAAAAUUCCUGCAGGGAAGGUAGGGCAAAGGAGAAAAGAAUUAGUACACAGCAAAAGGGAUAGCAUUGCCUUUGGCCACCAAGAGUGUGAUGGGCUGCUAUCUAUAGGCUCCUCGGAAGUAAAACGUACGUUAUGCACAGGUGCAGGCUGAGUAGCACUGAUGUUAGUAAUGGAGAAGGCAUGCUGGCACUCCUGAUCUCUGUUAGAAAUGAUGAUGGGGAGGGCCUGACUUCCUUUAGAUUGCCUACAAAAUCUAACAAUUUCAAUAAAGAAAUUUCAAAGGCACAGCUUUAGCACAGUGUAUAAGUAGAUAAACUUUAAGCAUAUGUAAAUUUGUCUUUCAAGCAUGGAAUCUUCCAGGAAAAAAUACAAGAAGAGCAGAAAUACAACGUCGUUGUUUAAAAAUUUUAAACAA